GUCUUGAUGCCCCAAGACCUGGAUGGAGGACGGGUUCUACGCGUCAAAUACUUUAUAAACGUUUCUACUGAAUUAUUAUCUUCAACUUGUAAAAUCCCAUUGCAGAUUGACAUUGUUUAAUCUUUCUGAUACUAUAACUAUAUCUCAGGUUACAGUCCCACAGUCUGAGGCCAACACCCACGUUGAUUUAUUUAUUUGUUUCGUUAUGUAUCUAUUGUGAAAUAACACCACGUCUUCUCAAAGCCACUACAUUAUCUAGCCGUGCGCAAGACAAAUGUUCAUCACACGAUAGAAACUAAAGGGCGUAAACAACACAGACACAUUCUAGUGGAUUCUAAUGGUGCAGAUAGGUGCAUGUGCGUGAGAUUCUGCAUGAGAAACUAUGGCAAGCCAAUUCACAUGACGCCCUCAGUUCAGUAGCGCCAACAGCGGUCGCUCGCUUGCACAGUAUGCUUCCUCAGUACAGGACCGUGUCGACGGGAUGAAGUUCCGAGAGGACCUUGGCUCUGGGAUACACCUCUGAGGAAUGUGGAUCUUCCAAGUGUAUUUUAGUAACUAAACGGCAUGGAUAUGUAUUUUACUCGGUUUCCAGACACAGUUAAGUCGUCGUUGAAUACCCGGAGUCGGAGCGCUUGAGCGGAUUCACCUGGAGAAGAUUCGGUGUCUGUGAACGUGAACACUCUCGGGGUCUGAAAUUUCUUUGUAGAUCUUUUGCUGUCAGUCAACAGUAUUUUUUUAUUUGAGUGCCAGUCCUUUCGGUGGCUUUGGAAGAAGUCGGGGAAUCCUGGCGAUUGAUCUUGGGCUCUUUUCACCGUUGGAGUUGGUACCUACAGCGUUUCGGGGCGCAUUUUCCCCCAAUACUACCGUUUUUAAUUUUUGACUGUCCGUCGCAGAAGUCGUCGACAUCCCAGCCAAACGCCCAACAUUAAAAGCGAUUCGUCUGAAGAAAGGUCGAUGGGGGUCCAGUAGUCCCAGAGCUCCUCGCACAGCCCCAGCAGUCAUCGUUGCCUGGCGACAGACACCUCAAAUGCUCUUCAGCAGACAUCUUUCCCCAUCAGCUCUCUGGGCACCCUGCACAAGCUUCGUGAUGCUUCUGGAGUUACCCUCUAUCUGCUAGCCCGACGGCUGUCCUUCAGUCUUCAUGAGAUUCCUCAUCUGGCAGAGGCACACCAGAUAGAGUUUCUGUGAGGGAUGGAGCGGUUCCUCCUCUCCAUGCUGCUCCUGGCUGCGUCGGCGUCGGCACAGCUGUGCCCCAAGCGCUGCAUGUGCCAGAACCUGUCGCCGUCGCUGGCCAUCCUCUGUGCCAAGACGGGCCUGCUGUUCGUGCCGUCAGUCAUCGACCGCCGCACGGUGGAGCUGCGGCUGACGGAGAACUUCAUCACGGCGGUGCGCCGCCGCGACUUCGCCAACAUGACCAGCCUGCUGCACUUGACUCUCUCGCGCAACACCAUCAGCCAGAUCAUGCCUUACACCUUCGCCGACCUCAAGCGACUGCGCGCGCUCCACCUGGACUCCAACCGGCUCAGCGUGGUCAUGGACGACCACUUCCGCGGGCUCACCAACCUGCGCCACCUCAUCCUGGCCAACAACCAGCUGCACCACAUCUCGCCGCACGCCUUCGACGACUUCGUGGGCACGCUGGAGGACCUGGACAUCUCCUACAACAACCUGGUGGAGGUGCCCUGGGAGACCCUCAGCAAGCUGACCAACGUCAACACGCUGAACAUGGACCACAACCUCAUCGAGCACGUGCCGCAGGGCGUCUUCACCAACAUGCACAAGCUGGCGCGCCUGGACAUGACGUCCAACAAGCUGAAGAAGAUCCCGCCCGACCCGCUGUUCCUGCGUCUCCCCGUCUACGCCAAGUCCAAAGGCUCCUCGCCGUCCUCUCUGGUGAUGAGCUUCGGCGGGAACCCGCUGCACUGCAACUGCGAGCUGCUGUGGCUGCGGCGGCUGACGCGCGAGGACGACCUGGAGACGUGCGCCUCGCCGUCCGACCUCACCGCCAAGUACUUCUGGACCAUCCCGGAGGAGGAGUUCAUCUGCGACCCGCCGGUCAUCACGCGCAAGUCGGCCAAGACCUUCGCCAUGGAGGGCCAGUCGGCCAGCCUCAAGUGCAAGGCCAACGGCGACCCGGACCCGGACGUGCACUGGAUCUCGCCCGAGGGCCGGCUCAUCUCCAACAACUCGCGCACGCUCACCUUCAGCAACGGCAGCCUGGACAUCAACAUCACCUCGCUGAAGGACACGGGCGUGUUCACCUGCAUCGCCUCCAACGCCGCCGGCGAGUCCACGGGCACCGUGGAGCUGGUGGUCAACCCGCUGCCGCACAUGGCCAACAGCACCAGCCGCAUGCGCGAGCAGGACUCCAUGCACUCGGACAUCAUCACGUCCAUCAAGUCCACGUCAGGGGGGGGAUCAUCGGGGGCCGGGGCGGGGAACGAGACCCGGGGGCAGGAGAGGAGGGUGGAGCUGAUGGAGCUGACGGCGACCUCCGCCCUCAUCAAGUGGCACCACUUCGCUGGGAUCAGGAUGUACCAGGUGCAGUACAACAGCUCCGCUGAUGAGACGCUGGUGUACAGGAUGAUCUCAUCCAGCAGUCAGAACUUCCUGGUGCGUGACCUGGUGUCGGGGCGCGACUACGACCUCUGUGUGCUGGCGGUCUACGACGACAGCCUGAGCUCCCUGACGGCCACCCGGCAGGUGGGCUGCGUGCAGUUCGUCACGGAGACCGAGUACAGCCAGUGCCAGUCGCUGCACAGCCAGUUCCUGGGCGGCACCAUGAUCAUCAUCAUUGGCGGCAUCAUCGUGGCCUCCGUGCUCGUCUUCAUCAUCAUCCUCAUGAUCCGCUACAAGGUCUACAGCGCCCAGGGCGGCGACCCUGGCAAGGCUGGCAUGACCUUGCGCUCGCAGACCAACGGGGGCCAGGCGGCGGCGGGACAGGUGCCCCGCUCCGGCUCCAAGGUCACGGACUCCUCCCAGGAGGACCAGCCCACCACAGGGUUCUCGGCGGGGGGGGGGGCGAGUGGCGCGGGGGGGGCGGGGGCCCUGAAGGACUCAGUGGCGCUGGUGGUGGACUGUGAGAAGGCGGCUCGUGUGGAGAUCACGGGCGAGGACAUUGUGUCGCCCACCAAGAGGCGCCACUCCAGGACUUUCAUAGAGCUCAAGGGACAGCCGCCGCCACUGUCUGGGAAAGAGAGGAAGAGUGCAGAGCCUUCAGAGAACUUUACGGCGGUUCCGGUCAGUGAUGAGAAGAAGGUUCAUCGCGACUUCAAAAUCUGACGGAGUAAUGGCCUCCUCUCUAUCUCUUUCUCUCUCUCUCUCUCUCUCUCUCUCUCUCUCUUUCUCUAUCUCUCUCAAUCCCUCCUCAUUCAUCCACUCGACAGAAAGAAAGAAAGAAAAAAGAGAAGAGAAGAAAAAAAGAAAGUGAAGGAGGGAAAAAAAGAAAGAGAGUUUGUGACGCAUAGACGCAACAGAAGAAUAGCAUCUGCCAUUUACUCGAAACUUAGCAUGUUGCUAAGACCCGCGUCUGCCAAGGCCUUGUCCGCUCUACCCAGUACAUAUGGCAGGGCUCUGCUCAUAAUACAGCUCAUUCCUCCGAUGUCUUCUUUUCUUUUUGUUGCUGUCUCUCUCAUUUCCAUACCAGCGGUGUGUGGGAUUAUGUUUGCGUACAGCUCAUCACAGACUUAAAGUGAUGGGUCUGGGAAACGGGAACGUUAACGAGAACAGCGCAGUUGGAGCUUCGGAAGCCCGGCUGGACAUGCGGCUCUCCUCGGUUCAUGUCUUUUACUCUCUGUAUCCGCGGACUCCCCACUAUUUUCCAUUCAGACUUGCGUCAGCGGACUACGGAUUAAUGGAACACGUUGGGAGUCUCUCUUCUUCGGCUUGCGGGGGAAAAUAAAACUGUGGCUAUGGGAGAAAAAAAGAAAAGAAACAGUAUUGCCUUCCUAUCCCACUUGGCCAAGACUAUUUUACGUAUUUGCAAACAGAUCCAGUAACUUACCCGUAUGUUGCUGAUCUCGUGAGGGAUAUCUCUUUACUGGUUUGCGUCCUGCCUCGUCCAUCCCAGCUCUGCGGCUCUGAGGGAUUCCAAUGGCGAGACGAAGCCAGCUACACGUCUCUACAUGCUUCAGCGCCUUCUCCACCCCGCCCAAAAGAAACCUCUUCAUCUUCCUCUUCCUCUUCCUCUUCCUCUCUCCUCGGCCCCUCUCAGACGAUACCCACCAACAUGAAAUAUACGAACUAAAUCUGCAUUUUGAAAACACAAGCUUAUUCAGUAAACCCAUUUUGUUUUUAAUUUUUUCUUCUUCUUUUUUUGGUUCAGUCACUUUUUAUUUGGCUUUUUUUUUUUCCUUUUGUAUCUGUACAUAACUCAAUUCCAAAAUCUUAUAGUUUUGUACAUGUAAUUUUUAUGGUGUGUGAAGUUUUAUAUAAAAUAAAAUAAAAAAUCUCUCUAUAUAGAUAUGCAUAAAGAAUGAAGAGUCUCGUUUUCUGUGGAGGGGUUCUUGGCUCCGUAUAAUGAGGCCCCAUAGGAUGCAUAAAGCAAAUGUUUGUGUCUAAUGACCUCGGAGCUGUUGCACUCCUCUUUCUUUCUUUCUUUCUCUUAUCUUUCCUUCUUUUCUUUCUUUGUAUCCUUAUGUUCUUCCUCUUUUCCUCAUUUCUCACUUUCUUUCUGAAAAAAAAAAAAAAAACAUUUUUCGCUCUCAGCAGAUCCUGCAAUCUGGGUCCUAUUACAGAGUAAACCCAAUAACCUGCAGUGCCCCAUAGUACACACACACACACACACACAUACACAUCACACACACAAGUACACAUGCACACCACACACACACA